rnacentral:misc_RNA from 1 species
CAACCCUCGAGCCCCCAGGCUCGGCGUUGGGGCGUGCGAGAGGGGGGAAAGGGGUCUCCCCGUCAUCCCCACUCGCGGCCCCUAAAUACAGUGGCCCACCCGCCCGGAGGGACUCCCCUGCGUAGUAGCAAGCCUCUCUCGCAUCGGGGACCCGCCGGCGAGCCGCCCGUCGCGGCGGAGCCAGAGCAAAAGUCCUGAGCCGGUCUCGCCUCCCAACCCUAUGGGCGGGGAGAAGGGGCUGGUUGCCUGGGCAGAACAAAAGA